rnacentral:misc_RNA from 1 species
UAGAAUAAGUCAAAUGUCUUAAGCUUGCAUUAUUAGUAGACAUCUAAACUGUUGUUCUGUUGUUCAUCAUGUUCAGUGGCAAAGUGUUUUUGAUUCAUUGUAAAGAUGUACUGUCAUAUAGGGUAGAACUGAUGUAAAGGAUGGCAUGGUGUGGGUUUCUCUUUUUGACCAAUAUUUUGAUAUUUAUUCCAAGGCAGUUAGAUGUACCGUAUAUCUUUUGAUGAUGACGGCAUGGAAAGGAUUUAUAGGCUUUUUAUGAGAUUUGAAGAAUAAAACAGAGGGUCUCUAACUUAACUAGCUAAAGCCACAUUUAUGUCUUUCCAUGAAGUAGAAGGCAAUGUGCAUCUGUUUAAAUCAUUCAUAUGCUUUUGCGAUACAUUAUUUAUAUGACAUUGAUUUCUUUCAAGAUUUUCGAAGAGUGAUUUUUCUCAAUAUUUUCUGUUUGCAUACUUUAAUUGAAUACCAGUGAUUGGAAACAAAUUGUUUUUCAUUUGAGGAUUUUUAGCAUAAGCCAUGUGUGGCAAGAUCUGUGUGUAAGAACUCAAUGUGUCCAUCUGUUUUAAGAUCAGUCUGUAACGUUUAGAGAACUGGAUGUAGAGAUUUUGUAGCACAAGUCACUCGCUGUGGUUAUUCAGUGGUCAGAUCCCAAGCACCCCCAGCUUGUCAUGGGGACUACAUCAGGGACUGGGUGGCCAGAGCAGGUCCCUACUACCCCCAACUUGUCAUGGGGACUACAUCAGAGACUGGGUGGCCAGAGCAGGUCCCAACUACCCCCAGCUUGUCAUGGUGUCUACAUGAGGGAGUGGGUGGCCAGAGCAGGUCCUAUGUACUUCCCACUUGUCAUGGGGACUACAUCAGGGACUGGGUGGCCAGAGCAGGUCCCAUGUACUUCUCACUUGUCAUGGGGACUACAUCAGGGACUGGGUGGCCAGAGCAGAUCCAAACUACCCCCAGCUUGUCAUGGUGUCUACAUGAGGGAGUGGGUGGCCAGAGCAGGUCCCAUAUACUUCCCACUUGUCAUGAGGACUGCAUCAGGGACUGGGUGGCCAGAGCAGAUCCCAACUAUCCCCAACUUGUCAUGGUGACUGCAUCAGGGACUGGGUGGCCAGAGCAGAUCCCAACUAUCCCCAACUUGUCAUGGUGACUACAUGAGGGAGUGGGUGGCCAGAGCAGGUCCCAUGUACUUCCCACUUAUCAUGGUGACUACAUCAGAGACUGGGUGGCCAGAGCAGAUCCAAACUACCCCCAGCUUGUCAUGGUGUCUACAUGAGGGUGUGGGUGGCCAGAGGAGGUCCCAUGUACUUCCCACUUGUCAUGGGGACUACAUCAGAGACUGGGUGGCCAGAGCAGGUCCCAUGUACUUCCCACUUGUCAUGGUGACUACAUCAGAGACUGGGUGGCCAGAGCAGGCCCUACGUACUUCCCACUUGUCAUGGUGACUACAUCAGGGACUGGGUGGCCAGAGCAGGUCCCAUGUACUUCCCACUUGUCAUGGGGACUACAUCAGAGACCGGGUUUGCCAGAGCAGAUCCAAACUACCCCCAGCUUGUCAUGGUGUCUACAUGAGGGAGUGGGUGGCCAGAGCAGGUCCCAACUACCCCCGGCUUGCCAUGGUGACUACAUCAGAGACUGGGUGGCCAGAGCAGGUCCCAUGUACUUCCCACUUGUCAUGGUGACUACAUCAGGGACUGGGUGGCCAGAGCAGGUCCCUACUACCCCCAACUUGACAUGGGGACUACAUCAGAGACUGGGUGGCCAGAGCAGAUCCCACAUACUUCCCACUUGUCAUGGUGACUACAUCAGGGACUGGGUGGCCAGAGCAGGUCCCUACUACCCCCAACUUGUCAUGGGGACUACAUCAGGGACUGGGUGGCCAGAGCAGAUCCCAACUACCCCCAGCUUGCCAUGGUGUCUACAUGAGGGAGUGGGUGGGCAGAGCAGGUCCCAUGUACUUCCCACUUGUCAUGAGACUGCAUCAGGGACUGGGUGGCCAGAGCAGGUCCCAACUACCCCCAACUUGUCAUGGUGACUACAUCAGAGACUGGGUGGCCAGAGGAGGUCCCAUGUACUUCCCACUUAUCAUGGUGACUACAUCAGAGACUGGGUGGCCAGAGCAGAUCCAAACUACCCCCAGCUUGUCAUGGUGUCUACAUGAGGGAGUGGGUGGCCAGAGGAGGUCCCAUGUACUUCCCACUUGUCAUGGGGACUACAUCAGGGACUGGGUGGCCAGAGCAGAUCCAAACUACCCCCAGCUUGUCAUGGUGUCUACAUGAGGGAGUGGGUGGCCAGAGCAGGUCCCAUGUACUUCCCACUUGUCAUGGGGACUACAUCAGAGACUGGGUGGCCAGAGCAGGUCCCAUGCACUUCCCACUUGCCAAGGUGACUACAUCAGAGACUGGGUGGCCAGAGCAGAUCCCAACUACCCCCAGCUUGUCAUGGUGUCUACAUGAGGGAGUGGGUGGCCAGAGCAGGUCCCAUGUACUUCCCACUUUUCAUGGGGACUACAUCAGAGACUGGGUGGCCAGAGCAGAUCCAAACUACCCCCAGCUUGUCAUGGUGUCUACAUGAGGGAGUGGGUGGCCAGAGGAAGUCCCAUGUACUUCCCACUUGUCAUGGUGACUACAUCAGAGACUGGGUGGCCAGAGCAGGCCCCAUGUACUUCCCACUUGUCAUGGUGACUACAUCAGGGACUGGGUGGCCAGAGCAGGUCCCAACUACCACCGGCUUGUCAUGGUGACUACAUCAGAGACUGGGUGGCCAGAGCAGGUCCCAUGUACUUCCCACUUGUCAUGGGGACUACAUCAGGGACUGGGUGGCCAGAGGAGGUCCCACAUACUUCCCACAUGUCAUGGUGACUACAUCAGGGACUGGGUGGCCAGAGCAGGUCCCUACUAUCCCCAACUUGUCAUGGGGACUACAUCAGAGACUGGGUGGCCAGAGCAGAUCCCAACUACCCCCAGCUUGUCAUGGUGUCUACAUGAGGGAGUUGGUGGCCAGAGGAGGUCCCAUGUACUUCCCACUUGUCAUGGUGACUACAUCAGAGACUGGGUGGCCAGAGCAGAUCCAAACUACCCCCAGCUUGUCAUGGUGUCUACAUGAGGGUGUGGGUGGCCAGAGGAGGUCCCAUGUACUUCCCACUUGUCAUGGGGACUACAUCAGAGACUGGGUGGCCAGAGCAGGUCCCAUGUACUUCCCACUUGUCAUGGUGACUACAUCAGAGACUGGGUGGCCAGAGCAGGCCCUACGUACUUCCCACUUGUCAUGGUGACUACAUCAGGGACUGGGUGGCCAGAGCAGGUCCCAUGUACUUCCCACUUGUCAUGGGGACUACAUCAGAGACCGGGUUUGCCAGAGCAGAUCCAAACUACCCCCAGCUUGUCAUGGUGUCUACAUGAGGGAGUGGGUGGCCAGAGCAGGUCCCAUGUACUUCCCAUUUGUCAUGGUGACUACAUCAGGGACUGGGUGGCCAGAGCAGGUCCCUACUACCCCCUACUCGUCAUGGGGACUACAUCAGAGACUGGGUGGCCAGAGCAGAUCCCACAUACUUCCCACUUGUCAUGGGGACUACAUCAGAGACUGGGUGGCCAGAGCAGAUCCAAACUACCCCCAGCUUGUCAUGGUGUCUACAUGAGGGAGUGGGUGGCCAGAGGAAGUCCCAUGUACUUCCCACUUGUCAUGGUGACUACAUCAGAGACUGGGUGGCCAGAGCAGGCCCCAUGUACUUCCCACUUGUCAUGGUGACUACAUCAGGGACUGGGUGGCCAGAGCAGGUCCCAACUACCACCGGCUUGUCAUGGUGACUACAUCAGAGACUGGGUGGCCAGAGCAGGUCCCAUGUACUUCCCACUUGUCAUGGGGACUACAUCAGGGACUGGGUGGCCAGAGGAGGUCCCACAUACUUCCCACAUGUCAUGGUGACUACAUCAGGGACUGGGUGGCCAGAGCAGGUCCCUACUAUCCCCAACUUGUCAUGGGGACUACAUCAGAGACUGGGUGGCCAGAGCAGAUCCCAACUACCCCCAGCUUGUCAUGGUGUCUACAUGAGGGAGUUGGUGGCCAGAGGAGGUCCCAUGUACUUCCCACUUGUCAUGGUGACUACAUCAGAGACUGGGUGGCCAGAGCAGGCCCUACGUACUUCCCACUUGUCAUGGUGACUACAUCAGGGACUGGGUGGCCAGAGCAGGUCCCUACUACCCCCAACUUGUCAUGGGGACUACAUCAGAGACUGGGUGGCCAGAGCAGAUCCAAACUACCCCCAGCUUGUCAUGGUGUCUACAUGAGGGAGUGGGUGGCCAGAGGGGGUCCCAUGUACUUCCCACUUGUCAUGGUGACUACAUCAGGGACUGGGUGGCCAGAGCAGGUCCCAUGUACUUCCCACUUGUCAUGGGGACUACAUCAGAGACCGGGUUUGCCAGAGCAGAUCCAAACUACCCCCAGCUUGUCAUGGUGUCUACAUGAGGGAGUGGGUGGCCAGAGGGGGUCCCAUGUACUUCCCACUUGUCAUGGUGACUACAUCAGGGACUGGGUGGCCAGAGCAGGUCCCAUGUACUUCCCACUUGUCAUGGGGACUACAUCAGAGACUGGGUGGCCAGAGCAGGCCCCACGUACUUCCCACUUGUCAUGGGGACUACAUCAGGGACUGGGUGGCCAGAGCAGGUCCCAACUACCCCCGGCUUGUCAUGGUGACUACAUCAGAGACUGGGUGGCCAGAGCAGGUCCCAUGUACUUCCCACUUGUCAUGGGGACUACAUCAGAGACUGGGUGGCCAGAGCAGGCCCAGCGUACUUCCCACUUGUCAUGGGGACUACAUCAGGGACUGGGUGGCCAGAGCAGGUCCCAACUAUCCCCGGCUUGUCAUGGUGACUACAUCAGAGACUGGGUGGCCAGAGCAGGUCCCAUGUACUUCCCACUUGUCAUGGGGACUACAUCAGGGACUGGGUGGCCAGAGGAGGUCCCACGUAGUUCCCACUUGUCUUGGUGACUAUAUCAGGGAAUGGGUGGCCAGAGCAGGUCCCUACUACCCCCAACUUGUCAUGGGGACUACAUCAUAACCUGGGUGGCCAGAGCAGAUCCCAACUACCCCCAGCUUGUCAUGGUGUCUAUAUGAGGGAGUGGGUGGCCAGAGCAGGUCCCAUGUACUUCCCACUUGUCAUGGGGACUGCAUCAGGGACUGGGUGGCCAGAGCAGGUCCCAACUACCCCCAACUUGUCAUGGUGACUACAUCAGAGACUGGGUGGCCAGAGCAGGUCCCAUGUACUUCCCACUUGUCAUGGUGACUACAUCAGAGACUGGGUGGCCAGAGCAGAUCCAAACUAUCCCCAGCUUGUCAUGGUGUCUACAUGAGGGAGUGGGUGGCCAGAGGAAGUCCCAUGUACUUCCCACUUGUAAUGGGGACUACAUCAGAGACUGGGUGGCCAGAGCAGAUCCAAACUAUCCCCAGCUUGUCAUGGUGUCUACAUGAGGGACUGGGUGGCCAGAGCAGGUCCCAACUACCCCCAACUUGUCAUGGGGACUACAUCAGAGACUGGGUGGCCAGAGCAGGUCCCAUGUACUUCCCACUUGUCAUGGUGACUACAUCAGAGACUGGGUGGCCAGAGCAGGCCCUACGUACUUCCCACUUGUCAAGGUGACUACAUCAGGGACUGGGUGGCCAGAGCAGGUCACAUGUACUUCCCACUUGUCAUGGGGAUUACAUCAGAGACCGGGUUUCCCAGAGCAGAUCCAAACUACCCCCAGCUUGUCAUGGUGUCUACAUGAGGGAGUGGGUGGCCAGAGCAGGUCCCAACUACCCCCGGCUUGUCAUGGUGACUACAGCAGAGACUGGGUGGCCAGAGCAGGUCCCAUGUACUUCCCAUUUGUCAUGGUGACUACAUCAGGGACUGGGUGGCCAGAGCAGGUCCCUACUACCCCCAACUUGUCAUGGGGACUACAUCAGAGACUGGGUGGCCAGAGCAGAUCCCACAUACUUCCCACUUGUCAUGGUGACUACAUCAGGGACUGGGUGGCCAGAGCAGGUCCCUACUACCCCCAACUUGUCAUGGGGACUACAUCAGAGACUGGGUGGCCAGAGCAGAUCCAAACUACCCCCAGCUUGUCAUGGUGUCUACAUGAGGGAGUGGGUGGCCAGAGGAGGUCCCACGUAGUUCCCACUUGUCAUGGUGACUAUAUCAGGGAAUGGGUGGCCAGAGCAGGUCCCUACUACCCCCAACUUGUCAUGGGGACUACAUCAUAACCUGGGUGGCCAGAGCAGAUCCCAACUACCCCCAGCUUGUCAUGGUGUCUAUAUGAGGGAGUGGGUGGCCAGAGCAGGUCCCAUGUACUUCCCACUUGUCAUGGUGACUGCAUCAGGGACUGGGUGGCCAGAGCAGGUCCCAACUACCCCCAACUUGUCAUGGUGACUACAUCAGAGACUGGGUGGCCAGAGCAGGUCCCAUGUACUUCCCACUUGUCAUGGUGACUACAUCAGAGACUGGGUGGCCAGAGCAGAUCCAAACUAUCCCCAGCUUGUCAUGGUGUCUACAUGAGGGAGUGGGUGGCCAGAGGAGGUCCCAUGUACUUCCCACUUGUAAUGGGGACUACAUCAGAGACUGGGUGGCCAGAGCAGAUCCAAACUAUCCCCAGCUUGUCAUGGUGUCUACAUGAGGGACUGGGUGGCCAGAGCAGGUCCCAACUACCCCCAACUUGUCAUGGUGACUACAUCAGAGACUGGGUGGCCAGAGCAGGUCCCAUGUACUUCCCACUUGUCAUGGUGACUACAUCAGAGACUGGGUGGCCAGAGCAGGCCCUACGUACUUCCCACUUGUCAAGGUGACUACAUCAGGGACUGGGUGGCCAGAGCAGGUCACAUGUACUUCCCACUUGUCAUGGGGAUUACAUCAGAGACCGGGUUUCCCAGAGCAGAUCCAAACUACCCCCAGCUUGUCAUGGUGUCUACAUGAGGGAGUGGGUGGCCAGAGCAGGUCCCAACUACCCCCGGCUUGUCAUGGUGACUUCAUCAGAGACUGGGUGGCCAGAGCAGGUCCCAACUACCCCCGGCUUGUCAUGGGGACUACAUCAGAGACUGGGUGGCCAGAGCAGGUCCCAUGUACUUCCCACUUGUCAUGGUGACUACAUCAGAGACUGGGUGGCCAGAGCAGGUCCCAUGUACUUCCCACUUGUCAUGAUGACUACAUCAGAGACUGGGUGGCCAGAGCAGGCCCUACGUACUUCCCACUUGUCAUGGGGACUACAUCAGAGACUGGGUUUGCCAGAGCAGAUCCAAACUACCCCCAGCUUGUCAUGGUGUCUACAUGAGGGAGUGGGUGGUCAGAGCAGGUCCCAUGUACUUCCCACUUGUCAUGGGGACUACAUCAGGGACUGGGUGGCCAGAGGAGGUCCCAUGUACUUCCCACUUGUCAUGGGGACUACAUCAGAGACCGGGUUUGCCAGAGCAGGUCCCAACUACCCCCGGCUUGUCAUGGUGUGUACAUGAGGGAGUGGGUGGCCAGAGGAGGUCCCAUGUACUUCCCACUUGUCAUGGUGACUACAUCAGAGACUGGGUGGCCAGAGCAGGUCCCAACUACCCCCGGCUUGUCAUGGUGACUACAUCAGAGACUGGGUGGCCAGAGGAGGUCCCAUGUACUUCCCACUUGUCAUGGGGACUAUAUCAGGGACUGGGUGGCCAGAGGAGGUCCCACAUACUUCCCACUUGUCAUGGUGACUACAUCAGGGACUGGGUGGCCAGAGCAGAUCUCAACUACCCCUGGCUUGUCAUGGUGACUACAUCAGAGACUGGGUGGCCAGAGCAGGUCCCAUGUACUUCCCACUUGUCAUGGGGACUACAUCAGGGACUGGGUGGUAAGAGCAGGUCCCACGUACUUCCAACUUGUCAUGGAGACUGCAUCAGGGACUGGGUGGCCAGAGCAGGUCCCAUGUACUUCCCACUUGUCAUGGGGACUACAUGAGGGACUGGGUGGCCAGAGGAGGUCCCACAUAAUUCCCACUUGUCAUGGUGACUGCAUCAGGGACUGGGUGGCCAGAGCAGGUCCCAACUACCCCCGGCUUGUCAUGGGGACUACAUCAGGGACUGGGUGGCCAGAGCAGGUCCCAACUACCCCCGGCUUGUCAUGGUGACUACAUCAGAGACUGGGUGGCCAGAGCAGGUCCCAACUACCCCCGGCUUGUCAUGGGGACUACAUCAGGGACUGGGUGGCCAGAGCAGAUCCCAACUAACCCCGGCUUGUCAUGGUGUCUACAUCAGGGUGUGGGUGGCCAGAGCAGGUCCUAUGUACUUCCCACUUGUCAUGGGGACUACAUCAGGGACUGGGUGGCCAGAGCAGGUCCCAUGUACUUCCCACUUGUCAUGGUGACUUCAUCAGGGACUGGGUGGCCAGAGCAGGUCCCUACUACCCCAAACUUGUCAGGGAGACUGCAUCUGGGACUGGGUGGCCAGAGGAGGUCCCUACUACCCCCAACUUGUCAUGGGAACUACAUCAGAGACUGGGUGGCCAGAGCAGAUCCCAACUACCCCCAACUUGUCAUGGUGUCUACAUGAGGUAGUGGGUGGCCAGAGCAGGUCCCAUGUACUUCCCACUUGUCAUGAGGACUGCAUCAGGGACUGGGUGGCCAGAGCAGGUCCCAACUACCCCCAACUUGUCAUGGUGACUACAUCAGAGACUGGGUGGCCAGAGCAGGUCCCAUGUACUUCCCACUUGUCAUGGUGACUACAUCAGAGACUGGGUGGCCAGAGCAGAUCCAAACUACCCCCAGCUUGUCAUGGUGUCUACAUGAGGGAAUGGGUGGCCAGAGGAGGUCCCAUGUACUUCCCACUUGUCAUGGGGACUACACCAGAGACUGGGUUUGCCAGAGCAGAUCCAAACUAACCCCAGCUUGUCAUGGUGACUACAUCAGAGACUGGGUGGCCAGAGCAGGUCCCAUGUACUUCCCACUUGUCAUGGGGACUACAUGAGGGAGUGGGUGGCCAGAGGAGGUCCCACAUACUUCCCACUUGUCAUGGUGACUGCAUCAGGGACUGGGUGGCCAGAGCAGGUCCCAUGUACUUCCCACUUGUCAUGGUGACUAUAUCAGAGACUGGGUGGCCAGAGCAGGUCCCAUGUACUUCCCACUUUUCAUGGUGUCUAUAUGAGGGACUGGGUGGCCAGAGCAGGUCCCAACUACCCCCAACUUGUCAUGGUGACUACAUCAGAGACUGGGUGGCCAGAGCAGGUCCUAUGUACUUCCCACUUGUCAUGGUGACUACAUCAGAGACUGGGUGGCCAGAGCAGGUCCUAUGUACUUCCCACUUGUCAUGGUGACUACAUCAGAGACUGGGUGGCCAGAGCAGGUCCUAUGUACUUCCCACUUGUCAUGGUGACUACAUCAGAGACUGGGUGGCCAGAGCAGGUCCUAUGUACUUCCCACUUGUCAUGGGGACUACAUCAGAGACUGGGUGGCCAGAGCAGGUCCUAUGUACUUCCCACUUGUCAUGGGGACUACAUCAGGGACUGGGUGGCCAGAGCAGGUCCCUACUACCCCCAACUUGUCAGGGAGACUGCAUCUGGGACUGGGUGGCCAGAGCAGGUCCCACAUACUUCCCACUUGUCAUGGGGACUACAUCAGGGACUGGGUGGCCAGAGCAGGUCCCAACUACCCCCAACUUGUCAUGGUGACUACAUCAGAGACUGGGUGGCCAGAGCAGGUC